GCCGUCGUGGCGUAAUGGUAGCGCGUCGCUUUCCUACCCACUCUUAUGUAAGCCACGUUAAGGCGAAGGUUGUGAGUUCGAGCCUCACCGUCGGUA